ACGUUCAAGUUUACAUGUGUGCAGUCGACGAAACAUGUAAAGGUGACUUUGAACCUGUCGAGCUUACCAAGGCCCCCCAAAAACACCAUACGUAGCAGUGUGUCUAAGGCAAUCACAUUGCCAGGCUCCCGUCCAAAAUGGAACCCUUUGAUUGACACUGAGGUCCAAGUAAGGCCUGAUAGCACAUCGAGCCUCAAAGUGAGAUUCCAGCCGCUGUACCCAGGAGCGGCAGCCCACCACGUCAUUCUGACAAAAAACCACAAAGCCAUCAACCGCACCCUUAUCUAUGCGCCAGAGAAUAUCGUCAUUUUCACACAUGUCCCUAGUAACGAUAACUACACCAUCUGGUUACGGCCUGUUGAUGGACGGGAACAGUACAUUGGGGACCACUUCUUGGAGUCGAAGCCGUUUAAUAUACCAG